rnacentral:snRNA from 1 species
ACUCAUACCUGGCAGGGGAUAUACCAUUAUUAUAAAAGUGGUUUUCCCAGGGUAAGUGCCAACUAUUGCACUUUGGAUGUGUUGAUCCCUGUGAUUUCCCCAAAUGUGGGAAAAUCAACUGCGUAAUUUGUGGUAGUGGGGGACUGCAUUUCUGGUUUCCCCUG